CUUCCAUUAGGAUAAAUCAUGGCCUCAGCUGCUGGCCCUUUAGUUCCAGAGCUGGAAAGCAGCAGCUCUGGACAAGGCAUGACUAUGAGAUGAGGAUGGGAGGGUUGUGUGAAUUUCACAGCCUGCUGCUCGAGGAAAGACUGUUACAGAAUAUUUUGCUGACACAGCCAGCAAGGAUCCCGCUGGAUCCCAUCACAAGACACACAAGAUAGGGAACUCUGAACAUGGGAGACUACCUGAAUUCAGAUCUAAAGUGCUGGGGACAGCAUGGGAGCAAGCCAGAAAGUGCUCAAGCUGCCUUGGGGUGCAACAGUAUUCCAGAUGAAAUGACUUCUUUGAGAUGCUGGAUGAAGAGGGGCCACCACUUUGUUUUUCUGGGAGAUUUAUGAAUAAGAAGAGUUCAAAAGUUUAUUAUCUUCCUUCCUGAUGUGUGUAAUAUAUGAGCUUGAAUUCAGACUUAGAAAGAACAAGAACUGACUUGAAAAUACUGAAAACUUGUUGCAUAAAAUAUUAGUCAGGUCAUCAUGAAUUUUACAGAAACCUAUCUGAAUAGAGUUAGAUUUGCCAAGCAGCUCAGUCUAUGUGUACAGUUCUACCAUCAGACAUAAUCCUUGCUAAAGUCACUGGGAUUUUCAUCUGAGUAACUUUGCAUAGAAUUUCAGUCUUGUCUGUGAAAUAUGCAAAUAAGCCCUAAAUUAAAUCAAGCAAAAAGUUUGUAUGGAUUCAGAUGAGUACAUUCAUUUAUAUAAACAGGUUAUGGAAAAACUCUCUGGAAAGAUUCGUAAUGGCCCUAUAUUUCAAUUCUACAAUUACAGAAUUGUACAAAUGUGGGGGAAACUCAAAGAUCACUGAAAGAGGUCCAGUGUAAACAAUCUUUGAGUUGCCCCUUCAGCGCUAUGACUGUUGAAAUUACAACAAUAAAGAUAAAACAGCAGAUUAAUAACCUGUAGGCCUUGGAACCAUUUUGUUAUAACUACAAUGUUUUGUACAAGCCAAGAGAAGAUAUAAAUCUGUGCUUUUAAAUCAAGUAAUAGUUCUUCAGAGUAAGCCUCAUAGUGUGUAUGUUUGUUGGGUUAAAGCUAGGUUAAAUCCCUUUCUUAAGUCUCAAGUAUUAAGGACUAAUAAAAAUUAGUUACUUGUAAUCAGCAUCCAGCCAAGUGGACAGUAAAGUGUAUACAGUAUACUUUAUGGCAACAAGCCAUGGCUGGCUUCAAACCAGGUUCUCUCUGUACAUCAAUAAGCAGCAAUUAAGUGCAAACAGAGUGGGCUUCCAAUUCUGUCAUUUAUCGCAUUGUAAAGAUGUAUUUUUGUGUUUAUUCUAAAAAGCCAAGAGCACAAGCCUGACUGAAUGCUGACCUCAGAACCACAGGAUUUUGUGGCUUUAUGCUACGCUGAGGGAGAACCAAGAUUGACAAGGUAUACAGCACUAUAGAUUGCUUCUUUUUGUUACAGGCACUUGGCUAAGGGAUUUUGCAUCUUAAGAUUUCACUCAAAUCACAUUGUAGAUUCAGUAAAGGAAAGUGGCUUUUCUGUGACAUAAUGCCUUUCAGCGUGUAAACCAAAGACUUCAGCACAUAUGAAACAAAGCCAGGGUGAAUGUAGGGCUGUUCACAAACACUGUCUUUCUCAUUGUCAACAAAGAGCAGCAUCUUAC
rnacentral:lncRNA from 11 species